UGCGUAGGUGGCGCGUUAAGUCAGGUGUGAAAUUUCGGAGCUUAACUCCGAAACUGCAUUUGAUACUGGCGUGCUUGAGGACUGGAGAGGAGACUGGAAUUCAUGGUGUAGCAGUGAAAUGCGUAGAGAUCAUGAGGAAGACCAGUGGCGAAGGCGGGUCUCUGGACAGUUCCUGACACUGAGGCACGAAGGCCAGGGGAGCAAACG
rnacentral:rRNA from 1 species